rnacentral:rRNA from 1 species
GCCCGCGGCAGUGUUACUGACGUUCAUGCUCGAAGGUGCGGGUAUCGAACAGGAUUAGAUACCCUGGUAGUCCGCACGGUAAACGAUGGAUGCUCGCUGUCGGCGAUACACGGUCGGCGGCCUAGUGAAAGCAUUAAGCAUCCCACCUGGGGAGUACGCCGGCAACGGUGAAACUCAAAGGAAUUGACGGGGGCCCGCACAAGCGGAGGAACAUGUGGUUUAAUUCGAUGAUACGCGAGGAACCUUACCCGGGCUUGAAUUGCAGGUUUUGGACCAGAGAUGGUCCUUUCCCUUCGGGGUUCCUGUGAAGGUGCUGCAUGGUUGUCGUCAGCUCGUGCCGUGAGGUGUCGGCUUAAGUGCCAUAACGAGCGCAACCCCUUUCGUCAGUUGCCAUCAGGUUAAGCUGGGCACUCUGGCGACACUGCCACCGCAAGGUGUGAGGAAGGUGGGGAUGACGUCAAAUCAGCACGGCCCUUACGUCCGGGGCUACACACGUGUUACAAUGGGGCAUACAGAGCGUCGGCCUGUCGCAAGACGUGUCUAAUCGUGAAACUGUCCCUCAGUUCGGAUUGGGGUCUGCAACCCGACCCCAUGAAGCUGG